rnacentral:rRNA from 1 species
CUUAACCAUGGAAGUGCCUUCGAGACUGUUGCUCUUGAGUCCUGGAGAGGCUGCCGGAAUUCGUGGUGUAGCGGUGAAAUGCGUAGAUAUCACGAGGAACACCAGAGGCGAAAGCGGGCAGCUGGACAGGUACUGACGCUCAGGCACGAAAGCGUGGGGAGCAAACAGGAUUAGAUGCCCUGGUAGUCCACGCCGUAAACGAUGAAUGCUCGCCGUUGCCUCGUUAGGGGGCAGUGGCUAAGCUAACGCGUUAAGCAUUCCGCCUGGGGAGUACGAUCGCAAGGUUGAAACUCAAAGGAAUUGACGGGGGCCCGCACAAGCGGUGGAGCAUGUGGCUCAAUUCGAUGCAACGCGAAGAACCUUACCUAGGCUCGAACGCUAGGCGCUCGCUCCUGAAAGGGAGCUUUCCGCAAGGACGC